rnacentral:misc_RNA from 1 species
GCUGAAUGGAAAUUUCUGAUU